rnacentral:rRNA from 1 species
CAGUAUAGUUAGGAGAAUGUGUUGGGAAGCACAAUCAAAGAGGGUGAUAAUCCCGUAUCUAAAAACCAUAUUGUGGUACUAAGCUAACGAGAAGUAGGGCGGGACACGUGAUAUCCUGUUUGAAGAAGGGGGGACCAUCCUCCAAGGCUAAAUACUCCUGAUUGACCGAUAGUGAACCAGUACUGUGAAGGAAAGGCGAAAAGAACCCCGGUGAGGGGAGUGAAAUAGAACCUGAAACCUUGUACGUACAAGCAGUGGGAGCCCGAAAGGGUGACUGCGUACCUUUUGUAUAAUGGGUCAGCGACUUAUAUUUUGUAGCGAGGUUAACCGAAUAGGGGAGCCGAAGGGAAACCGAGUCUUAACUGGGCGAGUAGUUGCAAGGUAUAGACCCGAAACCCGGUGAUCUAGCCAUGGGCAGGUUGAAGGUUGGGUAACACUAACUGGAGGACCGAACCGACUAAUGUUGAAAAAUUAGCGGAUGACUUGUGGCUGGGGGUGAAAGGCCAAUCAAACCGGGAGAUAGCUGGUUCUCCCCGAAAUCUAUUUAGGUAGAGCCUUGAGGUGACACCUUUGGGGGUAGAGCACUGUUUCGGCUAGGGGGCCAUCCCGGCUUACCAACCCGAUGCAAACUACGAAUACCAAAGAGUGAUACUCAGGAGACACACGGCGGGUGCUAACGUCCGUCGUGGAGAGGGAAACAACCCAGACCGCCAGCUAAGGUCCCCAAGUCUAUAUUAAGUGGGAAACGAAGUGGGAAGGCUUAGACAGCUAGGAUGUUGGCUUAGAAGCAGCCAUCAUUUAAAGAAAGCGUAAUAGCUCACUAGUCGAGUCGGCCUGCGCGGAAGAUGUAACGGGGCUGAAAUAUAGCACCGAAGCUGCGGCAUCAG